rnacentral:rRNA from 1 species
UACGUAGGGUCCAAGCGUUAUCCGGAAUUACUGGGCGUAAAGCGUACGUAGGCGGCGCGUUAAGUGUAAUGCGAAAUCUUGUGGCUCAACCACAUAGACUGUAUUGCAUACUGGCGUGCUUGAGGAUGGCAGAGGCAAGUGGAAUUGGUAGUGUAGCAGUGAAUGCGUAGAUAUUACCAGGAACACCAAUGGCGAAGGCAGCUUGCUGGGCCAUUUCUGACGCUAAGGUACGAAAGCGUGGGGAGCGAACAGG